CCUACGGGUGGCUGCAGUGAGGAAUAUUGGUCAAUGGGCGGGAGUCUGAACCAGCCAAGUCGCGUGAGGGACGACUGCCCUAUGGAUUGUAAACUUCUUUUAUCGAGGAACAAAGGCGUCCACGGGUGCCCGGUUGCAUGUACCCGAAGAAUAAGCAUCGGCUAACUCCGUGCCAGCAGCCGCGGUAAUACGGAGGAUGCGAGCGUUAUCCGGAUUUAUUGGGUUUAAGGGGUGCGUAGGCGGACAGUCAAGUCAGUGGUAAAAAUGCGGGGCUCAACGCCGUAAAGCCGUUGAAACUGGCAGUCUUGAGUAGGCGAGAAGUAUGCGGAAUGCGUGGUGUAGCGGUGGAAUGCAUAGAUAUCACGCAGAACUCCGAUUGCGAAGGCAGCAUACC
rnacentral:rRNA from 1 species